UACGAAGGGUGCAAGCGUUACUCGGAAUUACUGGGCGUAAAGCGUGCGUAGGUGGUUAUUUAAGUCCGUCGUGAAAGCCCUGGGCUCAACCUGGGAACUGCAGUGGAUACUGGAUGACUAGAAUGUGGUAGAGGGUAGCGGAAUUCCUGGUGUAGCAGUGAAAUGCGUAGAGAUCAGGAGGAACAUCCAUGGCGAAGGCAGCUACCUGGACCAACAUUGACACUGAGGCACGAAAGCGUGGGGAGCAAACAGGAUUAGAACCGUACGGU
rnacentral:rRNA from 1 species